rnacentral:rRNA from 1 species
UACGUAGGGUGCGAGCGUUAAUCGGAUUUACUGGGCGUAAAGGGCGCGUAGGCGGCCUGGUAAGUCAGGGGUGAAAUCCCACGGCUCAACCGUGGAAUUGCCUUUGAAACUGCUGGGCUUGGAUCCUGGAGAGGGUGGCGGAAUUCCUGGUGUAGGAGUGAAAUCCGUAGAUAUCAGGAGGAACACCGGUGGCGAAGGCGGCCACCUGGACAGGUAUCGACGCUGAGGCGCGAAAGUGUGGGGAGCAAACAGG